rnacentral:misc_RNA from 1 species
AGGGAUCAUUACCGAGUGAGGGCCUCUGGCCCGACCUCCAACCCUUUGUUGACCAACACCUGUUGCCUCGGGGGCGACCCGGACGCCGACGCCGACGCGUCGGCCGCGGGCACCCCGACGGACCAUUAACGCUGUAUCUGUACGUCGGAGUAUCGAGCGAAUCAAUUAAAACUUUUAACAACGGAUCUCUUGGUUCUG